UCAGGAAGCGGGCACGCACCGCCGCUGAUUCCCUCCCGCGGUCAGCCCGCACCGGACCCGCAGCCACCAACUCUCCCACCGCCCCCCUCGGCCCCAG